rnacentral:rRNA from 1 species
UAGCUUGCUACAUUUCCUAGCGGCGGACGGGUGAGUAAUGCUUAGGAAUCUGCCUAUUAGUGGGGGACAACAUUCCGAAAGGAAUGCUAAUACCGCAUACGCCCUACGGGGGAAAGCAGGGGAUCUUCGGACCUUGCGCUAAUAGAUGAGCCUAAGUCAGAUUAGCUAGUUGGUGGGGUAAAGGCCUACCAAGGCGACCAAUCUGUAGCGGGUCUGAGAGGAUGAUCCGCCACACUGGGACUGAGACACGGCCCAGACUCCUACGGGAGGCAGCAGUGGGGAAUAUUGGACAAUGGGCGAAAGCCUGAUCCAGCCAUGCCGCGUGUGUGAAGAAGGCCUUUUGGUUGUAAAGCACUUUAAGCGAGGAGGAGGCUACUUGGAUUAAUACUCUAGGAUAGUGGACGUUACUCGCAGAAUAAGCACCGGCUAACUCUGUGCCAGCAGCCGCGGUAAUACAGAGGGUGCGAGCGUUAAUCGGAUUUACUGGGCGUAAAGCGUGCGUAGGCGGCUUUUUAAGUCGGAUGUGAAAUCCCUGAGCUUAACUUAGGAAUUGCAUUCGAUACUGGGAAGCUAGAGUAUGGGAGAGGAUGG